rnacentral:rRNA from 1 species
AUUGAACGCUGGCGGCAUGCUUUACACAUGCAAGUCGAACGGUAACAGGUUAAGCUGACGAGUGGCGAACGGGUGAGUAAUGCAUCGGAACGUGCCCGGUCGUGGGGGAUAACGCAGCGAAAGCUGCGCUAAUACCGCAUACGAUCUGAGGAUGAAAGCGGGGGACCGUAAGGCCUCGCGCGAUCGGAGCGGCCGAUGUCAGAUUAGGUAGUUGGUGGGGGAAAGGCUCACCAAGCCAACGAUCUGUAGCUGGUCUGAGAGGACGACCAGCCACACUGGGACUGAGACACGGCCCAGACUCCUACGGGAGGCAGCAGUGGGGAAUUUUUGACAAUGGGCGAAAGCCUGAUCCAGCAAUGCCGCGUGCAGGAAGAAGGCCUUCGGGUUGUAAACUGCUUUUGUACGGAGCGAAAAGGUCUCCUCUAAUACAGGGGGCUCAUGACGGUACCGUAAGAAUAAGCACCGGCUAACUACGUGCCAGCCGCCGCGGUAA